UUGGGCUUUGUUUUGUUGUGGUCUUCAUGUUUAAUUUCUCUCUUCACCUUUUAUAUGUUUCAACAUUUUUAAAUUUUUUUUAUUAUUAUUUUAUCACAGUGUUAUCAAGAAUUUUGCUCAUGAAAGAUAUAAGAAAGUAGAAAAUAACGAAGUUUUUUUUUUUGUUGCACAAAUGAAAAUAACAUUGUUCACACCUUCUUAAUAUUUGUUGCAGCCUUUGCCUUCAGCUUUUGCUGUACAUUAUCCGCACAGGGCUAAUGAUGAAAAUUUUCCUCGUCAAAUGUCUGUUGGUCCUUCGACUUCAACUGUUCAAGUUGUGGAUGUAAUCCAGUUAUACUCUGCUCUACAACAAUGAACACAACCCACAACCAAUUUUUAAUUCAGUGGUCUCUAUUGUCACUUCAACAUGGCCAGCACAUAAAAUUGUGAGAAAGAGAUACAGAGAUGACAUAGACAUGGAGAACAAGCCAGCCAAGAAGUCCAGAAUUAAGAAUUGUAGGCCAAAAGUUUUAGAUGAAGGAAAACCAGCAAUACUCCAAAUCCUUGGAGUCCAGAACUCGUUAAUUGUACUCAUGCUUUUUCCAAGAAGAUACGAUGCCAGAAGGGGAAGGACAUAAGGAAGGAUAACUUUAACAUCUCAGACAAGCCCUCAGAGGGUGUCAUAGAACAAGCAGUUGGUCCAAAACAAGAACUUGCUCCAAUAUCAUGCAGGCGAGUGUUGAACUUCGAUUUGGAAAAUGAGGCAAGAGUUUUAGAAUCUCAACACUCUGACAUAUUCACCAAAAUUAACAAAAAAUCAGCUACAAAUUCAACUCAUGAGUCCAACAAAGGCAAGAACAUAACAUAGAAACGACAGAUAAAUAAUCGUAUUGGCUGCCGAUUCAAUUCCUUGCAAGUAUAUCAGAGGAUGUGCAAGAAAACAAGGACGAACAGGCAAAAAUCUACCAUGUUCAAAACUUUGUGGUCUGUGAAAGGCGCAGAAGAUAAUGCCGACUAUAAUCCCCGGAUGGAAAAAGGUUCACAGAAUUUUUCUCCAAGAGGAGUGGUUGAUGCUGUUACCAAGAGAGGGGAAUGUCUAGAGAUCAGCAAUGGAGGCAACCAACCCAUGGUGCUUGAACAAAAUGAAAAUACUUCUUGCGGGAGGGAACACUAGAAACCUAUAUGUUGCUAUUUGAUUCUAACAAGAAACAAUACUCAAAAUAUGUCAGACAAGCAUUCCAGGUUAUCCAUCAGCAAAGUCAAGUGAUUCACUGUGCUGUUACUAUCAGAAGCUCAUCUCUAUCAUUUAAUGCAUCUUUUGUUUGUGGAGCAAAUGACGCCACACAGAGAAGAUUACUUUGGCGUGACAUUUUCAACUUGGCAUCUCUAUUCACCACUUUUGGCGAUCUUUGGCCUUGUAGAAAAUACGUGGAAGGUAUUUUUCCUUGUAAGACCAAAAUUAUGCCUCUAUUUGAUUUUUUGGUUUAAUGUGUUCUCUUUUGCUAGACUCUUUUCCAAUCUUUGUAAUUUUUGGGUGUUAUUCUUUAGAUGUUCGUGUUUAAGUUGCAUUAUCAAUUAGUUGGGUUCCAUCCUUUUUAAUUGAUCUUGGUAACUUCUGUCACCUCUAUCCUAGUAGUUUGGUAUUAUAGAUUUAUAAAGUGUUGAUGUCAAGCUGAGAGUCAAUAAAUAAUCUCAAACC